GAGUUUUAUGAGUUAGGCGAUAGUGGGAGCGGGUUUGGCAUUUUCUAGGUAGACAGUCUUAGAUAGCACAAUCGAAAAGUCGAAUAAUUGUUAGAGUUUUACUUAAGAGCGAACUAAUUCAGUACUACGGACUACAUUACGAUAAUUGCCGAUUCGUGCAAGGCUUUGUUGCGAAAUAGAUUCUGGACCGCAUUUAUCUGUCAAAUCAAUGCAAUUGGUAUUGUGCAUAUUUAGCAGCCAAUUUAAAUCUUGAGCCGUUUAAUACCUGAAGGCUCUAUGAUCUUUGAUCCCUGAUAUCUAAUUUCUGGUCUCCGAUUUACGAUUAAUGGUCAAGCGAUAUUUCUGAUCUUGAAGAAUCGGUAGCUGCCAUUGGGAUUGGACCAUUGAUUGGCAAUCACGGAAGCACGCCAUUUUGCUAUCGCCAUUCGGCCAUUCGACCUCUGUGCACCUGGUUCCCACUCGAAUAAACAGCUAAGGAUAAUCACCAUUAUCAUUAUCAUUCACACGCAUUCUCUCAUAAACGCUCAAUCUAAUCUCAUUCCAAACGUCCAUUUUGUCUACGUAUUUAUAUAAGUUAAAUUAAGAAUAAUUAAUAGAAUUGUGAUAGUCGUUACUAGA